rnacentral:lncRNA from 1 species
AAAACCGGAGAGGCGCAUCUUGCCGGCUACGGUUGAAACCCGUUCACUGGGUGAUUCUGAAGCUAGAAGGGCAGCCGAAUGGCCUUCCCCCCGUCCUGCCCCUCGUCCACUGCUUUCAAAGACCCAGGAGCUGGAGAUUUAGGGAUGUGUCCAGGUUACCCUGGAAGAUCUGUGGGAUGAUGGAGCUUCUCUUCCUCUACACCUCUUUUGAGUCAUGUGAAAAAGCCAAGUAUCUUGCUUCUAAAUUCAUAUGUUUUUGAGAAACCUACAAAGAGAUCUGCACAAGAGAGAAAGUGAAAAUUUCACUCCAAGAUUUCUUCCCUUGGCAAACAACAGAAGGUUUAGGACAAGCCUUUUCUCUAAGUGCCUGUUGCUUUGUUAGCUCUGUUUUCCAAAGACAUCUGUGUUGUGGAUCUGGUCAGAAAGAGUGGGAAUUCAGUGACUUUACUAGUUCUGGAUGGGGAUUCCUAUGAGAAAGCAGUGAAAACACGGGUGGACUUGAAAGAGUUGGGUCAAAGUCAGAAGGAGCAAGGUUUGAGUGAUAAUAUACUUUCCCCUGUGAUGAAUGGAGGUGUGC